rnacentral:misc_RNA from 1 species
UUAACUAUUAUAUAGUACUCAGACAAUAAUAAAUCAAGAGUUUUAGGUCCUCUGGCAGGCACUGACCAGCCGAAGCCGGUUGUCUUUCGACGGGCCUGCCAAAGCAACAAUGGUAUUGUAAACAAAGGGUGGAGUAGUAGACCGAAGUCCAUAAACUCUUUAAUGAUCCUUCCGCAGGUUCACCUACGGAAA